rnacentral:lncRNA from 7 species
UCUUUGCAGAUGCCCACCCUGUGUCUUUCUGAAUUUGAAUUUUGAAGAUACUGAGAACCAACAACAAAUCUUGUAAACUUUGUCGACAGCUGGGAGGAUCCAUCUUAUGGUAUAUUGGGAUAGUUGCAAGAAUCAGUAAUAGAUGUCUCAACAGAAUGUAUUGCCUGGAAGAACUUCAGCCUAAUUUUCCUGAUUUUAAAACAACUGGAAUGGAACUGAGACCAACUCAAUGAAUGUCCUUGUCUGCCCAUGUUUGUUUCCUCAUGUGUAAAACAGAAAUAAUAACAUUUCCCUCCCCAAUAUGGUGUUGCAAAUCUCAAUUAACAUGCUUUCAUUGCCUCAGCAAUAACAUGUUUUGUUCUGUUGGUCUAAAUCCAGUGUAAAAGCUACACUUGGGCAACAGCAGAAUUGGACUCCAUGGUAUUAUUAGAGUCCUAAUAAUCAUAACUCAAAUCAUAGUUAAUUUCACUUAGGGAUUUAAAUCUACAAAGUAAGAGAUAUGAAGGCACUGUUGCCCACAGACUGAGAAGGGACAAUGGGAGAACUGUGAGAUUAAAAGUCCAAAAUCUAUUAUGUUGAUGAAAUAUUAGAAGGGCUUGAAACUAGGUAAAUAUAGUCUUCAAAUUGUUCAAUAGACUAAAAGAAAAUAAGAUAAAAACUAUAUUAAAAUAAUAAAAAUGAUAAAAUGAUAAAAUAAAAAGCUUCUGUGCAUUAAUGCAAAGGAAUCUUAUGCUGCCCUUGUGCCAAAGAGAGGCAAGAUGCUAUCUUAAGUCUGCAGAUAGGAGAGUGUAAGUCUAGCGUUGUAAAAUAUGUGCUCUUGAUUCUUUGCACAUAUUCAGUGGUUCCUCCAUAUAUUUCUGCAACUGGAUAGGUUUAUGUCACUAUUAUCUGAAUGAGGCAUGCUCUACAAACCAGAACACAGUAGAUGUUAAAUAUUGACUUUUCAAUUGGAAAGGUGCAUUUAUUACCCAACUGGAAUAAUUUUAUCUUAAACAUAUGCAUGAAAACAGAAUCUAAAUGCUAUAGAAUUCUUCUACUAAAGUAAGGUUUAUAGGGUUAGUAAUGCUUCUGACUGCCUUUUGUUACCUCCACUGCUGUCAAUUAUCUGAUUUUAGAUACUCUCUUCCCAUUGUGGCUUAAAUAAUGUUGUAAUCUAAUUUAAAAUUGUUGUGCACAAUAAACAGUUGUGAAAAUCAUCGUUACAGGUUUUCUACAGAUGGCAUCACAUUUUCUAAUUUUCUGAUACCAAAUGGAGUCAUCAAAUAAAUACUAAAAUC